rnacentral:rRNA from 1 species
AGCGAACGCUGGCGGCAGGCCUAACACAUGCAAGUCGAGCGCCCAGCAAUGGGAGCGGCAGACGGGAGAGUAACACGUGGGAACGUGCCCUUUGGUUCGGAAUAACUCAGGGAAACUUGAGCUGAUACCGGAUAAGCCCUUACGGGGAAAGAUUUAUCGCCAAAGGAGCGGCCCGCGUCCGAUUAGCUAGUUGGUGAGGUAAUGGCUCACCAAGGCGACGAUCGGUAGCUGGCUGAGAGGAUGACCAGCCUCACUGGGACUGAGACACGGCCAGACUCCUACGGGAGGCAGCAGUGGGGAAUAUUGGACAAUGGGCGCAAGCCUGAUCCAGCCAUGCCGCGUGGAUGAUGAAGGCCUUAGGGUUGUAAAGUCCGGUUUUAACGGGAAGAUAAUGACGGUACCCGUAGAAUAAGCCCCGGCUAACUUCGUGCCAGCAGCCGCGGU